GACGAACGCUGGCGGCGUGCCUAACACAUGCAAGUCGAACGGAGCCAAUCGACAGAUUCCUUCGGGAAGAAGUUGAGGAAGCUUAGUGGCGGACGGGCGAGUAACGCGUGAAUAACCUGCCCAUAAGAGUGGAAUAAUCCAUGGAAACGUGGACUAAUACCGCAUAUUGAAAGUAAAUCGCAUGGUUUAUUUUUGAAAGAUUUAUCGCUUAUGGAUGGAUUCGCGCCAGAUUAGCUAGUUGGUGAGGUAACGGCUCACCAAGGCGACGAUCUGUAGCCGAACUGAGAGGUUGAUCGGCCGCAUUGGGACUGAGACACGGCCCAG
rnacentral:rRNA from 1 species